GACGAACGCUGGCGGCGUGCUUAACACAUGCAAGUCGAACGGAAAGGCCCUGCUUUUGUGGGGUGCUCGAGUGGCGAACGGGUGAGUAACACGUGAGUAACCUGCCCUUGACUUUGGGAUAACUUCAGGAAACUGGGGCUAAUACCGGAUAGGAGCUCCUGCUGCAUGGUGGGGGUUGGAAAGUUUCGGCGGUUGGGGAUGGACUCGCGGCUUAUCAGCUUGUUGGUGGGGUAGUGGCUUACCAAGGCUUUGACGGGUAGCCGGCCUGAGAGGGUGACCGGCCAAAUUGGGACUGAGAGACGGCCCAGACUCCUACGGGAGGCAGCAGUGGGGAAUAUUGCACAAUGGGCGGAAGCCUGAUGCAGCAACGCCGCGUGCGGGAUGACGGCCUUCGGGUUGUAAACAGAUUUCGCCUGUGACGAAGCGUGAGUGACGGUAAUGGGUAAAGAAGCACCGGCUAACUACGUG
rnacentral:rRNA from 1 species